rnacentral:rRNA from 1 species
GACAGAGGUGCCAAGCGUUAGGCGGAAUCACUGGGCUUAAAGCGUGUGUAGGCGGAUCGUUAAGUACCUUGUGAAAUCCCACGGCUCAACCGUGGAACUGCUUGGUAUACUGGUUGUCUUGGGCCAUCUAGGGGCUACUGGAACAAACGGUGGAGCGGUGAAAUGCGUAGAUAUCGUUUGGAACGCCAAUGGUGAAAACAAGUAGCUGGGGAUGUGCCGACGCUGAGACACGAAAGCCAGGGGAGCGAACGGG